rnacentral:rRNA from 1 species
UACAGAGACUGCAAGCGUUAUUCGGAUUCACUGGGCGUAAAGGGUGCGCAGGCGGUUGGGUGUGUCAGAUGUGAAAUCCCUAGGCUCAACCUAGGAACUGCGUCUGAUACUGGAUGGCUUGAAUCCGGGAGAGGGAUGCAGAAUUCCAGGUGUAGCGGUGAAAUGCGUAGAUAUCUGGAGGAAUACCGGUGGCGAAGGCGGCAUCCUGGACCGGCAUUGACGCUGAGGAGCGAAAGCUAGGGGAGCAAACGGG